CUAGACUUAGCUAGUAGUUCAGGUUGUUCCUUCUCUUGUUCCCCUCAUUCAGCUAAUAAUUUUGCAUAUUGAUUAAAUAAACAUGGAGCCAAGAAAAUGGCUUCUUUUGUGGGGAUUUUUUACCUGCUUUAGUUGUACCUUGUUGCUACAUUUGUACUUGUUCUUAUUUCAUCCUUGAUUGGUGUAACUAUCUUACUUCUCUUGUUAGAUAUUUUUUUAAUUGGAACUACACUUGUUAUAUAUUUAUUAUUUUUUUAAGCAUCCUUUGUAUUUUUGGAAGAAUUUCUCAUCUUUUGGUUGUAUUUAAAAUUCAUUUCAAUGAAUAGUUUGUUUUUGAUAAAAAACUAAAACAGAAAAAAAUUCAGCAGGGCUGACAGCGUUAGGAUAGAGACAACUAGGAUUAUUUGGGUUCAAAGUAGCCUCUUGGCAAAGCCUAAGAGGAAAAACAAGUAACAACUUCUUUCUUUGCAUGGUUAUUCUUUUUUUUAAUAGGAAACAAACAAAGAAAUAUAUUGAUAGAAUUAAGAAGUACAAAAGAAGGAUGAGGAAUCCUCCCACAAAAGAAAACUAAACAACAAGAAUACAAAAAUAAUAAGCUAAAUGGUAAUUACAAAAAGCAAACUCUUUUAGCUAGACCACCCCAUUGGAGCUAC
rnacentral:lncRNA from 1 species